rnacentral:rRNA from 1 species
UACGGAGGGUGCAAGCGUUAUCCGGAUUUACUGGGUUUAAAGGGUGCGUAGGUGGGUCUGUAAGUCAGUGGUGAAAUCUCCGAGCUUAACUCGGAAACUGCCAUUGAUACUAUAGAUCUUGAAUAUCCUGGAGGUGAGCGGAAUAUGUCAUGUAGCGGUGAAAUGCUUAGAUAUGACAUAGAACACCAAUUGCGAAGGCAGCUCACUACGGGAUCAUUGACACGGAGGCACGAAAGCGUGGGGAUCAAACAGG